AGCCCGAAGACUUCACUGUAGGGCUGAAACGGCGUCGAUUUGGGGUCCACCGCCUCGGUACGUGUCCCGAUCACGUCUCCGUAUAAGUUCUUGGCGAGGUUCUGGUCCAGGGAGUCCAGAUCAAACUGGAGGUACUCCGCCGGUUUACCUAAACCGAAAGGGUCGAACCCGUAGUCUCCGACCAGCGAACCGUCGAGAUACUCAGGGGAUUUUGCACCUGGGAACCAUAAAGGCCGGUCUGAGAUAACCGUCUUAGCCUUUUUGGGAGCGGCUUUCUUGGUUCCGAAUCCGAACCG
rnacentral:lncRNA from 1 species